GGCUUAUGUAACUCAGAGUAGCUUAUUAAGGUGAUUAUGAGACGGUGAUAGUGCACAGUAGUAAUAGAAGUAUGAAUAAAUAUCAAUAAAUUAAACUGAAAACAGAGUACAUUGCACCAGAGUAUUAAACAGAUAAUAUUGCACAAUUAUUUCAAGUAUUGCAGUGAUGUUAAUGGUCCAAUGUCCAGUUUAAUGACUUAGGGUCAUAUAGACUGACACUAUUAUUAGUACUUCAGUGAUUCUUUAUCUUACUCUGUUGUAUGUCUUUACCCAGGUGCAGAUGGCUGUAACUGGCAGAGGUGGCUGCAGCACAUAACGCUGCUGCCACUGGCUGACCCCAAACACCGUCCAGAGGUGAAAAGGGGAGCUGAGUGUCCUCCUGCCAGUUUACAGCCGCUCCAGCACAAAGACCCCUGCAGUGCCUCCCUGUGGUAACACAUGGUAACUGUAGGGGAACUUGGAGCAGCAUUGGGCCCCACAGGUGCAGCGUGCAGACCACCGGAGAGAAGACAACGUGGAAGACCGAGUGUACAUCCAGAGUUUCCAUCACGACGAAAAAGAAAUGCUCGAACAGAUCAGAAGGACGACUGAGGACAGGACGAGAUGGAGAGCAUGUGGUGUUUCAGUCAACGAGUUUCAGGGCAGGACUCUUCCUGAGGUAACUGACGGUCGAUGUCAACCAGCCAAUCAGGAAGCACCGGCACCACAGCAGUACACACUUCUGCACCAAACCUGCCUCCAGACGCCAAACCAGAGCAUCAGCAGUGAGAGGACGACGACAGCCCCGAUCAGGAGGAUGAAGAGCGUCCUGAACGCACCUGUGUCACUCGGUGCGUCCUCUGUGAAGCUCCUCACACACACUGAAGAAGCUGUCAGCAUCCGCUUGCCUCCGUGUGCAGAAAUCAAGACGCUUAAGAAAGAGACUGACAGUUGAGACUGAAUGAGAAACAAAACGAACUGGAAAAAGUUCAACUCAGCAUUAAAAUGUUUAAACUACUGAGCAAGCAUUAACCUCACCUAAUGUUUUAGGUCAUGUUUUUAUCUGAGUGUUCUUAAUUGCGUUUAAUAUAAAAAAAAUAAUUUCCUGAAAGAAAUAGUUGUAAGAAAAACAUUUCUAUGAUUUUACAUAUUUAAUGCUAAAGUCUGUCACAGCAUCUUAGUCUAAAAUACAUUUUUACUCUGAUUUUGAAUUUUUUGGGACUUAUACACAUAUUAUAUUACAGUACAUCAUGUUACAUAUUGAUGUCAAGAUAAUGCUGUAUUAUUGAUCAUGAUUUUAACUUCUAUCAUCCAUUCAUAUACUGUAAAUAUGAAUGUUAAUUAUUAUUUACAGGCACUAUUUGAUAUUAUUUAGCCUACAAUUGUUUCCAGGUACUUUGGGGCUGUGCAGUACCUUCCUACAUACAGUAUUUGUCCUUUUACAACUUUGUUUGAGCUUGAAUUCAAUAAAAUGGACUACAUGUAACAUGA